UAUGGCCACAUCACAUAGAAAAACAGGUUCCUUUACGAUCACUGAAGUUAAUCAGUGUCAUACCUGGUCAGUACCUUGAUGGGUGACCACUUGGGAAUGUCAGGUGCUGUAAG